AUUGAACGCUGGCGGCAGGCCUAACACAUGCAAGUCGAGCGGAUGAAGGGAGCUUGCUCCUGGAUUCAGCGGCGGACGGGUGAGUAAUGCCUAGGAAUCUGCCUGGUAGUGGGGGAUAACGUCCGGAAACGGGCGCUAAUACCGCAUACGUCCUGAGGGAGAAAGUGGGGGAUCUUCGGACCUCACGCUAUCAGAUGAGCCUAGGUCGGAUUAGCUAGUUGGUGGGGUAAAGGCCUACCAAGGCGACGAUCCGUAACUGGUCUGAGAGGAUGAUCAGUCACACUGGAGCUGAGACACGGUCCAGACUCCUACGGGAGGCAGCAGUGGGGAAUAUUGGACAAUGGGCGAAAGCCUGAUCCUGCCAUGCCGCGUGUGUGAAGAAGGUCUUCGGAUUGUAAAGCACUUUAAGUUGGGAGGAAGGGCAGUAAGUUAAUACCUUGCUGUUUUGACGUUACCAACAGAAUAAGCACCGGCUAACUUCGUG
rnacentral:rRNA from 1 species